rnacentral:tRNA from 1 species
GCCGGGAUGUUGGAAUGGCAGACAAUGUGGCCUUAAAAGCCACUGGAGUUUAACUCCGUGAGGGUUCGAGUCCCUCUCCCGGCA